CAAACGGCCCUUUUCAGGGCCACCAAAUUCAGUGCAACAACACGG
rfam:Trichuris muris Edinburgh genomic scaffold, scaffold81